rfam:Wallemia ichthyophaga EXF-994 unplaced genomic scaffold scaffold22, whole genome shotgun sequence.
UCGGUUAUGUGGUAGGGGCUAUCCUCCCAGAUUCUCAUUCUGGAGACCCGGGUUCGAUUCCCGGUAACCGAA